AANGGCGAAGCCUGAUGCAGCAACGCCGCGUGAGGGAUGACGGCCUUCGGGUUGUAAACCUCUUUCAGUAGGGAAGAAGCGAAAGUGACGGUACCUACAGAAGAAGCACCGGCUAACUACGUGCCAGCAGCCGCGGUAAUACGUAGGGUGCGAGCGUUGUCCGGAAUUAUUGGGCGUAAAGAGCUUGUAGGCGGUUUGUCGCGUCUGCUGUGAAAAUCCGGGGCUCAACCCCGGACUUGCAGUGGGUACGGGCAGACUAGAGUGUGGUAGGGGAGACUGGAAUUCCUGGUGUAGCGGUGAAAUGCGCAGAUAUCAGGAGGAACACCGAUGGCGAAGGCAGGUCUCUGGGCCACUACUGACGCUGAGAAGCGAAAGCGUGGGGAGCGAACAGGAUUAGAUACCCUGGUAGUCCACGCCGUAAACGUUGGGAACUAGGUGUGGGUCUCAUUCCACGAGAUCCGUGCCGCAGCUAACGCAUUAAGUUCCCCGCCUGGGGAGUACGGCCGCAAGGCUAAAACUCAAAGGAAUUGACGGGGGCCCGCACAAGCGGCGGAGCAUGUGGAUUAAUUCGAUGCAACGCGAAGAACCUUACCAAGGCUUGACAUAUACCGGAAACACCCAGAGAUGGGUGCCCCGCAAGGUCGGUAUACAGGUGGUGCAUGGUUGUCGUCAGCUCGUGUCGUGAGAUGUUGGGUUAAGUCCCGCAACGAGCGCAACCCUCGUUCUAUGUUGCCAGCGCGUAAAGGCGGGGACUCAUAGGAGACUGCCGGGGUCAACUCGGAGGAAGGUGGGGAUGACGUCAAAUCAUCAUGCCCCUUAUGUCUUGGGCUUCACACAUGCUACAAUGGCCGGUACAAAGGGCUGCGAAAUCNCGAGAUGGAGCGAAUCCCAA
rnacentral:rRNA from 1 species